rnacentral:rRNA from 1 species
AGAUCGAACGCUGGCGGAAUGCUUUACACAUGCAAGUCGAACGGCAGCACGGGGGCAACUCUGGUGGCGAGUGGCGAACGGGUGAGUAACAUAUCGGAACGUACCCCGACGUGGGGGAUAACUCUCCGAAAGGAGAGCUAAUACCGCAUACGACCUGAGGGUGAAAGCGGGGGACCUGCAAGGGCCUCGCGCGAUGGGAGCGGCCGAUAUCGGAUUAGCUAGUUGGUGAGGUAAAGGCUCACCGAGGCGACGAUCCGUAGCGGGUCUGAGAGGACGACCCGCCACACUGGAACUGAGACACGGUCCAGACUCCUACGGGAGGCAGCAGUGGGAAUUUGGACAAUGGGGCAACCCUGAUCCAGCCAUUCCGCGUGAGUGAAGAAGGCCUUCGGGUUGUAAGCUCUUCAGCGAGGAACGAAACGGUCGGACCUACGUAAGUAAGGUCGGACGUAAUGACGGUACCUGCAGAAGAGCGACCGAC